GAACAAAUCUCUAUUGGGGUAAACAAGUCUCUUCAACUACAAUAUGAACAACAGAAGAGCAGAAACCAACCAAGUUAGCAAACUUAUGGUGAGGUGACAGGACCUAAACUAGAGUUACAGAGAAAAGUUUCCCAGGAAAGAAUAAUGAAGUCAUUUGCAGUGAUAAAAAUCUUAUAGACUAUGCCAAAUGUUACAGGUGUAUUCCAAAAAGUAAAAUUGGAGUUUCUUAUAUUCUGAUAUUCUGCUAAUUCCACAGGAAACAAUAAAUACUUUAAACACUCUUGAGAUAUUUCUUAUCUAGCUAUACCUUGUCUCAAGGAAACAUCAAUAUUUUAUAAAUGUUUCUUAAAUAUAAGUAUUUUGUCUCAAUUCAUCUUCACUCUCUAAUCUGCUGACUCUAUUCAACACCAACAGAGCUAAUGCUUUUAGUAGCUUUGUACUGUUUAGAGCUCUAUUAUGAAUCUUUCUAAUACAUAUGAAAUUAAUAUUAUAUUAGAAUUAUGUACAUUGUACAAAAUAAUUCAUAACCAAGCAAUAUUCAUACUAUAGAAUAAUUUAUUAUUAUAUAUAUGAAUAUUACAUUGAGACUGAACAAAUAACUACUCUGCUCCAAAUAUUACUCUCAAGUUCUCUGCCUUUAAUUAUUGUAGUCAAUUCAUAAAAUUCUACAUACAGUUGUAUAUGGUGGGUUAUCAAAUACUCCAUAAUCCAAAUGCACCUAAAAGUAUUCCCAAUGCUCCUUUCAUUCUAGAAUACUAAAGGAAAGAGUUUGAAAGAAGAGGAAAGUAAAGCAGGCUUCUAACUAUACAAUUUAAACAUGGCCAUUCAGAUUGAAUAAUUUUUAAAUGAUGAUGCUCCACUCUUUGAUCUAUAGAUGAGGUUACAAAAGAUUUACAAUUAGUUCAAAAUCAGAGGAUUUUAAAUCUUAAAGGAGUUAAGUUCAUCUCAAUGAUCCAAGACUACAAAAAUUCAUGCUAAAUUGGCAAGGAAAUAUGUUUAAAACCAAGACCUAAAAUAGCUUUCUAAGUUUAAAAAUCCCUGUGUUUCUUCUGAAUGUAAAACAGGCAAAAUGAUCCCGACUUCAAAAUGAAAUAUACUGAUUGUUAUUAAAAGAUGUUUGGCAAAGUUAAGUCAGUAUCUUCAAUGCUUUAGCAGUAGGUAGAAGUCUUUGGGGUUGGAACUCAGGAUACAGUGACUAGGACAGAGUAUAUUCUUAGACUAAUCAGUGCCUAGUCCCCUGGAGUAUUUUUUUAAUGCCCUGAAUUUCAAGUUGUCAAACUGGUUUACAUAUUGAAUGACAUUUUGAAUCAAUAAAAAUGAGAAAAAACAUUCAAAUUUGGUUUUCAUGUCUCAUUUGAGAAUAAGGAUUUCCUUCAUCACCCUAAGUAAUAAAAACUGAUAUGUCUUGAAACAACUACAGAUAAUCAGAAUGUGUUCAUUUAUAAAGUAUCACUUGUUUGUAUAUUUUAACGCUGACCUUUGCCUGUGAACUAGAAAAUCAAGAUUUGUAGAGUCAGGUUGAUUUGCCUUCAUUUGAUUUCUGCGAAUGCAUUGGAAGUGGAUGGAUAACUUGGAAGUUUUUCCAUACUGUUUUCCGCCUUGCCAAGCAUUAAAUCUAAUUCAAAAUAUGUCUUUCUAAAAAACAGUAGUUUAU
rnacentral:lncRNA from 1 species